CCCUGGGGUGAGGAAUACCAGCGAGAAAUCGUUGACAAUUCCGCAUACGCUCUCUUUUCGCGAAGGAGGGAGAGCAAAGCUUCGGUUCGUCCGAAGUGCCACAGGAUGGGCCUGCGCCUGAUUAGCUAGUUGGGGGGGUCAAAGCCUCCCAAGGCAAUGAUCAGUAGCUGGUCUGAGAGGAUGAGCAGCCACACUGGGAUUGAGAACGGCCCAG
rnacentral:rRNA from 1 species